rnacentral:lncRNA from 1 species
GUUCAGCAUUCUGCAGACAAAACACUUGAAAUUUCCUCUGCUUCCAGGGGUUACUGGGAUUCCCUUGGUGCGCAACUUGCUUACCUUAGGGACUGAACAAAGAGUGCUGAACACCAGAGGAAGGAGGCACUGAAAGAUCUUUUCCACAGGAGCAACAGUCUUCAGUGCAGUAGCUUUUUGAGACCUGUUGACAAGGCUCAAGGUGGAAUGCUGCAUGCAAAACCAAGGGAAUUGAUCCAAAUGACGGGCCUGCAACUCAGGAAUCUGAAUUCAAAGCUGUGCUCCCAG